rnacentral:miRNA from 1 species
UGUGUGUGUGUGUGUGCAUGUGCAUGUGUGUGUAUACAUAUACACACACAUACAUAUACACACAUCCACAAUUUAAAAC